CGCAUGCCGCGCCAAAGCACUCGGCCGGCUCCUGCCAUCCCAGACUCGACAAACGCAGCCUUUGCGCCGUCGCGGUGUUUACGAUUAAUUUAAUAUUCUCGACUGGAGUUGUCCUGCAGUCGUCUGGAGUUCUCGCCCUCCCCAGCCUCGGCGGUGCUUGGGAGCGUCGGGGAGCCCAAGGCCUCCCUGGCGAGCGCCGCAGGGCUGAGGGGUUCCGGCAGGGCGUCUCGGCUCCCUCGGGGCGUCCAUGGCGGUGCCGGAGAUCCUGAGUGUCCAGGGGCGUGGGGAGGGGAGUGCUUUUGGUGCUGUGUGUUGAUAUGGGCGUGUCUUUUCUGGGGUGAAGGAGACUCAUUCGUGUCAGCAGACAGCACCAAGGAAGGGCGAUUUCUGAACAACUCCACCAAAGGGAUAUUACAGGUGAAAAACACCGAAAAUAAGGAGAAUAAACUAAAGAAACAUCAGAAAUAGCAUAACACUGGAACGGAAUUCCAGGAAAUAGAUAUGACGGUAGCACGCCAUGAGAAAAAGGAAAAAAAUAUAACGAAAACACGUACAAAAAUCCAGCAUGAAGGCCCUUGGUGCCGUGUAUUGGUGCGGGAGAGCCUUCUCUGGGGUGAAGGAGACUCGGCUGUAGCAAGAUACGGCACCAGGUGGAGGCGAUGUAGAUACUCUACACAACACUGUCACACGACACAUGAAGAAAAACAACACCGGAGACAGGAUAAUGCAGAAAAGGAAUACCAGGAAAAAAAAUCAGAUACAAAACACAACAUUAACAAAAUAACAACUUGGAUUUAGGACUUUGGUGUGGUAUGCUGGUACGGGUAAGCCUUCUCUGGGGUGAAGGAGACUCAGCUGUAGCAGGAUACCGCAUUAAGGAAAGGCGAUGUAGAUACCCUACACCACACUGUCACGCGGGGAAUAAAGAAAAAUAACACCGGAGACGGAAUAAUACAGAAGAAAAGGAAAAGGAUCACACAGAAACACAA